UACGAAGGGGGCUAGCGUUGUUCGGAAUUACUGGGCGUAAAGCGCACGUAGGCGGGUUUGUAAGUAGGGGGUGAAAUCCCAGGGCUCAACCCUGGAACUGCCUUCUAGACUGCAAGCCUGGAGGUCAGGAGAGGCGAGUGGAAUACCGAGUGUAGAGGUGAAAUUCGUAGAUAUUCGGUGGAACACCAGUGGCGAAGGCGACUCGCUGGACUGAUACUGACGCUGAGGUGCGAAAGCGUGGGGAGCGAACAGG
rnacentral:rRNA from 1 species